rnacentral:piRNA from 1 species
UGCAGUUUCCAGUGGGCCGUGUGCACC